rnacentral:rRNA from 1 species
UACGUAGGGCGCAAGCGUUGUCCGGAUUUAUUGGGCGUAAAGAGCUCGUAGGCGGCUUGUCACGUCGGAUGUGAAAGCCCGGGGCUUAACUCCGGGUCUGCAUUCGAUACGGGCUAGCUAGAGUGUGGUAGGGGAGAUCGGAAUUCCUGGUGUAGCGGUGAAAUGCGCAGAUAUCAGGAGGAACACCGGUGGCGAAGGCGGAUCUCUGGGCCAUUACUGACGCUGAGGAGCGAAAGCGUGGGGAGCGAACAGG